UCUCCUCCUCCCCGCGUCUCUCUCCCUCUUCUCUGCAACUCUGGCCACCUCACGAUUCCGGCCACCUGGGGACGAAUGAGUGGCACCGUUGGACUCCUCUACUCCUACCCAACCUCCCCACGACGGUAACUCACGGCGGCUUGGCCGGAAAACGACGCAUCGGGUCCUUGAAGUUUCACUGUAGCAGAAGUGGUCAACGCCGAUAUUUUCCGAUUUCAGCUGUCUCCGGCCACCAAACCGGCGUCGAAGGUUCGGUUUUUGCCAAGGAUCCUUUUGCCCCUAGCCUUGAGCCACGAUUUGCAACGUGGAGGAAGAAUCGAAGAGAUGAAAUUCUGGGUUACUAUUCACCGAUCGGGUUCAACUUCUCCUUAAUUGUUGAGGGCAAUGUCGCGAGCUACGGCUAGAUGAAGGAACUCGUUUGCGUGGUCGCCCAAUAGUACUUGUGCAGGUUUUGAGCAUGUGGUCGGGUAGCGUACAGAGGAGGCACGUGGCCCGGCUUGGCGCAUUCUUCUUUAAUUUUAUCAAAAGAAGGUUUUGGUCCUUUAUUGGAUUUUGAAGUAACUUGUUUAUUUACUUUUGAUUUAUUUCCUACUUGUUUACCAAAACUUCGAGAGGCCCGUAACCCUGGGGCGCUUCUCUCGCACUUGUUGAUAUUUAGUGAUUUGUUUUCCAAAUUGGGCUCCGAUUGUAAGCCCAAAACUUUUAGCCCAUUUCAAAUUCCGCUUUUGAAAAUGUAUUGUUUGGUUGCUAGAGCGACUUG